UCGAAGGGUUUUAUAAGCUCACUCCCCCAAAAUUUAGGGUUUUUAAGCUGUGUCUCUCUCUUCAUAAAAUCAAACCGUUCAUCAAGUGUCGUCCCCAAAAUGCCGAAGCAGAUUCAUGAGAUCAAGGACUUCCUUCUUACAGCUAGAAGGAAGGAUGCACGUUCUGUGAAGAUCAAGAAGAGCAAAGAUGUGGUGAAGUUCAAAGUUCGUUGCUCAAAGUACCUCUACACCCUCUCUGUCUUUGAUCUUGAGAAGGCUGACAAAUUGAAGCAAUCCCUUCCUCCAGGUUUGAGUGUGGAAUACCUGUGAGCUGGAGUGUGCCCUCGUCUGAGAAUAGCGUCGGAGAUAAUAUAUUUGGCGAUAUUUUAUUUUUUUUUAAAUUAGUUGAACUUGAAAGACUUUGUUAUGAAUGGAUUUUAGUUAAAUUAUUUUCAAUUGAUAGGAGUUGGAAUGAUGCAUGCUUUUGGUACUUCUUAUUGUACGUUGUUUAGCUAAUUUUCUUUAUGCUUGUUCUCUAUAUAGAAUCACUCGUUUGGAUUC